UGGGUGGUCUCAUUUGGUCAUUCUAUGCUU
rnacentral:piRNA from 1 species